UACGGGGGGAGCAAGCGUUGUUCGGAUUUACUGGGCGUAAAGGGCGCGUAGGCGGCGCAACAAGUCACUUGUGAAAUCUCCGGGCUUAACUCGGAGCGGCCAAGUGAUACUGUCGGACUAGAGUACAGAAGGGGCAACUGGAAUUCUCGGUGUAGCGGUGAAAUGCGUAGAUAUCGAGAGGAACACCUGCGGCGAAGGCGGGUUGCUGGGCUGAUACUGACGCUGAGGCGCGAAAGCCAGGGGAGCGAACGGG
rnacentral:rRNA from 1 species